rnacentral:rRNA from 1 species
AUGCUGUGGCGGUAUGCUUUACACAUGCAGUCGUACGAGAGUUUUUAAUUCAGUGGCGGACGGGUGAGUAACACGUAAGAAUUUGCCUUUAGGAGGGGGACAACAACGGGAAGCUGCUGCUAAUACCCCAUAUGCUUUCGAGUGAAAUGGAUUUUUCCGCCUAAAGAGAAGCUUGCGGCUGAUUAGCUUGUUGGUGAGGUAAUGGCUCACCAAGGCGACGAUCAGUAUCUGGUUUGAGAGGAUGAUCAGACACACUGGAACUGAGACACGGUCCAGACUCCUACGGGAGGCAGCAGUGGGGAAUUUUCCGCAAUGGGCGAAAGCCUGACGGAGCAAUACCGCGUGAGGGAUGACGGCCUAUGGGUUGUAAACCUCUUUUUUCAGGGAGGAAUAAACUGACGUGUACCUGAAGAAUAAGCAUCGGCUAACUCCGUGCCAGCAGCCGCGGUAAGACGGAGGAUGCAAGUGUUAUCCGGAAUCACUGGGCGUAAAGCGUCUGUAGGUGGUCCAAUAAGUCAACUGUUAAAUCUUGAGGCUCAACCUCAAAAUCGCAGUUGAAACUAUUAGACUAGAGUAUAGUAGGGGUAAAGGGAAUUUCCAGUGGAGCGGUGAAAUGCGUAGAGAUUGGAAAGAACACCGAUGGCGAAGGCACUUUACUGGGCUAUUACUAACACUCAGAGACGAAAGCUAGGGUAGCAAAUGGGAUUAGAUACCCCAGUAGUCCUAGCCGUAAACAAUGGAUACUAGAUGUUGAACAGAUCGACCUGUGCAGUAUCAAAGCUAACGCGUUAAGUAUCCCGCCUGGGAAGUAUGCUCGCAAGAGUGAAACUCAAUGAAUUGACGG